AUUUAUAUAGUUUAAUAAAAAAACUUUACAUUUUCAUUGUAAUAUUAAAAAUUUUUUUAUAAAUU
rnacentral:tRNA from 1 species